rnacentral:rRNA from 1 species
UGUGAACUGCAGGACACAUGAACACCGACAAGUUGAACGCAUAUUGCACAUCGUACAACAGUACGAUGUACACAUUUUUGAGUGCCUAUAUUAAUCCAUUCAACUAUACGUGUGCGUGCGCAUCUCACUUCGGGUGGACGGGCGCACGGGCCUCCCGGCGGAUCGCUGCCCCCUCAUACGGGUGCGGAUCGGCCGGGCACGUAUGCGUAGUGAUGUUUUCCCAGCGCCCGCCAGCGCGCCGGUAAAACAUUGAAGAUAGUCAGGGCGCGCAGCCGCUACCCACGGUUGGCGCGAGUUGAUGAAUACAUCCCAUCGCCGAAUGGUUGGCCAUUGUAUUCCAUCACACACCCAUCACCCAUCACCUUGAAUAAUCAGUAGGCCUCAAAUAAUGUGUGACUACCCCCUAAAUUUAAGCAUA